AGAGUUUGAUCAUGGCUCAGAACGAACGCUGGCGGCAGGCCUAACACAUGCAAGUCGAACGUGAAGCCACCUUCGGGUGGUGGAAAGUGGCAGUCGGGUGAGUAACGCGUGGGAAUCUACCCAAUGGUACGGAAUAACUCAGGGAAACUUGAGCUAAUACCGUAUGUGCCCGAAAGGGGAAAGAUUUAUCGCCAUUGGAUGAGCCCGCGUCUGAUUAGCUAGUUGGUGGGGUAAUGGCCCACCAAGGCGACGAUCAGUAGCUGGUCUGAGAGGAUGAUCAGCCACACUGGGACUGAGACACGGCCCAGACUCCUACGGGAGGCAGCAGUGGGGAAUAUUGGACAAUGGGCGCAAGCCUGAUCCAGCCAUGCCGCGUGAGUGAUGAAGGCCCUAGGGUUGUAAAGCUCUUUCGGCGGGGACGAUAAUGACGGUACCCGCAGAAGAAGCCCCGGCUAACUUCGUGCCAGCAGCCGCGGUAAUUC
rnacentral:rRNA from 1 species